rnacentral:rRNA from 1 species
GACGAACGCUGGCGGCGUGCCUAAUACAUGCAAGUCGAACGAGUGGCGGACGGGUGAGUAAAACGUGGGUAACUACCCAUCAGAGGGGGAUAACUACUGGAAACGGUAGCUAAUAACGCAUACUAACGGAUAACCAAUAUGGGAGUAGCUAGUAGGUGAGGUAAUGGCUCACCUAGGCAACGAUCCCUAGCUGGUCUGAGAGGAUGAUCAGCCACACUGGGACUGAGACACGGCCCAGACUCCUACGGAGGCAGCAGGUGGGAAUAUUGCACAAUGGGCGCAAGCCUGAUGCAGCCAUGCCGCGUGUAUGAAGAAGGCCCUAGGGUUGUAAAGUACUUUCAGUCGGGAGGCGUUACCGACAGAAGAAGCACCGGCUAACUCCGUGCCAGCAGCCGCGGUAAUUC